GCGCCCUGACGUCAUGCGGCCAUUUGGUUACAUCAUCACGGGCUGCCUACGUCAUUGUGGCAAAGUCGUUUCUCUUCGCCAGUCUACAAGCACUAAUUUUAGUUGGUAUUUCAAGGGAAGAUGGGCGAUUCCGAACAAUCCUCUGUCCCCAGCAAUGAAGGCAGCGAUGCUGAGGCCAGUGAGGACGACCAACAGCCCACCGCCGCGUAUGGUUGGGGCAGGGAGCCCAGAUACUCUGCUGAGGAGCUGCCAUCGCGUGUAACAAAUGUGGAGGAAGAAGAUGCGUCAGCAGCUGCGUCCGACAGAAGACGAGUAGCUUGGCCACCAGAAUCUCGAUUCGUUUGGGACUCCGACUGGUGCGAGCGUGGACAAAAGUGUAUAGCCAUGCCCAGCCCGCGGGAAUGAUUUUGCUGGUAGGAUGCUGCCGUCGCUGUCGACAAGACGGCCCAAGGUUUCUUGCGUAGCGGACCUCGCAGAUUACGAGAUCGUAUCCUUGCAUUAGGCUGUGCUCAUCACUGCUCUUCGAGGUUAUCUCGACAUGCAGAAGCCGCCAAUGCCAGUGACAGAAGAGUCUGACAUUAGAUCUCUACGCUAUGCGGCACACAGGCAGUACACACUAUGUACACGGCAAAUUGGGCAAGCACGUUCGUUGUCGUCUUCCAGCCUGCGUUGUGAAUACCAUCAGGCAAAGAUAUCCAAAUCCUGCACCACCUCAGCCUUCUCAGGAGGCUUCCACCUGGAAUUUGGCAGGGAAACACGCUUCUCCAAGGCAGGAACAUGGAGGUUGCCAUUUGCAACCGCUACCACCUCACACAUGAGCUUGUCAACAUACUCAUAGCUCUUUCUGUCGUAUAAUUUUCUAUUUGGCCACAGUCUUCUUUAUGCUUUGAGAACUGGACUUUAUACCUUCC